rnacentral:rRNA from 1 species
UACGGGAGGCAGCAGGGGGAAUAUUGCACAAUGGGCGAAAGCCUGAUGCAGCUAUGCCGCGUGUAUGAAGAAGGCCUUAGGGUUGUAAAGUACUUUCAGCAGGGAGGAAAGAAAUAAAACUAAUAAUUUUAUUUUGUGACGUUACCUGAAGAAGAAGCACCGGCUAACUCCGUGCCAGCAGCCGCGGUAAUACGGAGGGUGCAAGCGUUAAUCAGAAUUACUGGGCGUAAAGAGCGCGUAGGUGGUUUUUUUAAGUCAGAUGUGAAAUCCCUAGGCUUAACCUGGAACUGCAUUUUGAAACUGAAAACUAGAGUAUCGUAGAGGGAGGUAGAAUUCUAGGUGUAGCGGUGAAAUGCGUAGAUAUCUGGAGGAAUACCUGUGGCGAAAGCGGGCCUCCUAAACGAAUACUGACACUGAGUGCGAAAGCGUGGGGAGCAAACAGGGAUUAGAUACC